ensembl:snRNA U6 U6 spliceosomal RNA
GUGCUGGCUCCAGGAGCACAUAUUCUAAAAUUGGAAAGAUACUGAGAAGAUUAGCAUGGCCCCCGGAUGACAGGCAAAUUCGCGAAGUGGCCCAUAUUAAA